rnacentral:rRNA from 1 species
AAUUGCCUAACGGCUGAACCAGCAACUUGGAAGAAUGUAUAGCAUUAGCUAGUUGUAUUAGUAAUACAAUAUCGAUUAUAUCGAAUAAAAUUCUGGAUAGAAGAAUGAAUAUGACAAUUUUCUAUCUAUAUGUCUUGGCCAAAUCUCGUGCCAGCAGUCGCGGUAAUACGAGGAAGACUAGUGUUAUUCAUCUUUAUUAGGUUUAAAGGGUACCUAGACUGUAUUUCUAGCCUAAACAAGGUACGGAUUUACUAGAGUUUUAUGUGAGAAGAUAGUAUUUUAGGUGUAGAGAUAAAAUUCAGCAAUACUUAAAGGACUGGUAACGGCGAAAGCGAUCUUUAUGUUAUAUAUCAUAACUAACUAUGUAAAAACUGACGUUAAGGGACGAAGGCCUGGGUAGCGAGAAGGAUUAGAUACCCUAGUAGUCCAGGCAGAAAAAUAUGAAUGCCAUAAAUUAGAAUAAUUUUAGUUUAUAAAUGAAAGUGUAAGCAUUCCACCACAAGAGUAAUGCGGCAACGCUGGAACUGAAAUCAUUAGACCGUUUCUGAAACCAGUAGUGAAGUAUGCUAUUUAAUUCGAUAAUCCGCGAAAAACCUCACCACAGCUUGAAUAUUUAAUUAAAUUAAAAAGUAAUUUUAUACAAGCGUUGCACGGCUGUCUUCAGUUAAUGUCGUGAGAUUUUGGUUAGUUCCAUAAAAUUAACGUAAACCCUUGCUUUAUUUCUUUCUUUAAGUAUAAAGUAGUUCACCAUCAUAUUGGAUAAGAUAAAUGGGAAUAAGACAAGUCAUCAUGGCCUUAAUGCUGUGGGCUAUAGGCGUGCCACAUAUACCUGUACAAAAAGAUGCAAACAUGAAAAUAAGAGCUAAUCUCUAAAGCAGGUUAUAUAAA